CGGCGGCGGCGGCGGCGGCGGCACCGGCGAACCUCGGGCUGAGUCACCGCCGCCUGUGUCGGUCCACGUCCGCCCGCUCAGGGCUUCGGGGCGCCAGUCGCCCACGCCGAGCGCAGGAUGGCGGGCGGCCAGUGCGGGCUCCGGGACCACCCAGCUCCGGGUUGCAUCUUAGCCCCUAGAGGGACAGAUUUCAGAGGAUGGGAAUCGUGCAACUCGGGACCGAAGCACCGCGUCUAGAGACUUUCGGGGACGGGACAAAAAGCUCUUUUUGCCCAGACUGGUCUCAAACUUCUGGGCUCAAGUGAUCCUCCUGCCUCAGCCUACAGAGUACCUGGGACACCUGGCAUCAGGCUGUGGUUUUGUUUUCGCAUUCCUGACACCAGGGGUUAUUUGAACAUUUUGUCAACCUAAUUAUGCAGAUUUAAAGAAUAAUAAUACUGAUAAGAAUAAAGAUGAAGUUAAUUACCCAAAA